rnacentral:rRNA from 1 species
AACGUAGGAGACAAACGUUAUCCGGAGUUACUGGGCGUAAAGGGCGUGUAGGUGGUUUCGUAAGUCUGGCGGGAAAUAUCUCGGCUUAACCGAGGCAGGUCGUCGGAUACUGCGGGACUAGAGGACGGUAGAGGCGUGUGGAAUUCCGGGUGUAGUGGUGAAAUGCGUAGAGAUCCGGAGGAACGCCAGUGGCGAAGGCGACACGCUGGGCCGUACCUGACACUGAUGCGCGAAAGCAUGGGGAGCAAACAGG